GAUGAACGCUAGCUACAGGCUUAACACAUGCAAGUCGCGGGGCAGCAUGGGGGUUGCUUGCAAUCCCCGAUGGCGACCGGCGCACGGGUGAGUAACGCGUAUCCAACCUGCCCUUCACCACGGGAUAACCCGGCGAAAGUCGGACUAAUACCGUAUGUUGUGCAUUGACGGCAUCCGAUUUGGACGAAAGGUUUGGCGGGGAAGGAUGGGGAUGCGUCCGAUUAGCUGGACGGCGGGGUGACGGCCCACCGUGGCGACGAUCGGUAGGGGUUCUGAGAGGAAGGUCCCCCACACUGGAACUGAGACACGGUCCAGACUCCUACGGGAGGCAGCAGUGAGGAAUAUUGGUCAAUGGGCGUAAGCCUGAACCAGCCAAGUAGCGUGCAGGAUGACGGCCCUGUGGGUUGUAAACUGCUUUUAUGCGGGGAUAAAGUGGCCCACGUGUGGGUUUUUGCAGGUACCGCAUGAAUAAGGACCGGCUAAUUCCGUG
rnacentral:rRNA from 1 species